GACAAAAUCUUUGUAAUUGAAACAAGAACCAUAACUCUUCUCGUCUCUUAUGAAAAACGAACAAAAGAUCCAAAAUGGAAGUAAUCAUAGUUUCUUAAUCGUAGAUUGAUAAAAGUCUUUGUAGUUUGUGUCUGAAACUCUUUCCAACAAUGGAUUCGAUGAGCAUGUUUCACAUUAUACCACAAAGGAAAGUUUGAAGUGAAAGAUGGUAUCACUUGUUGAUAUUGUAUGUCCUCUCGAGACGAUGUUUACAAAGUUCUCGGAGGCAAUCUGUAUAUCAUUUGUCUUUUGUUGAUUAUCAGCACAAAUCUUGUAUGUUAAA